CCCAGACUCCUACGGGAGGCAGCAGUGAGGAAUAUUGGUCAAUGGGCGGAAGCCUGAACCAGCCAAGUCGCGUGAGGGAAGAAGGCCCUGCGGGUCGCAGACCUCUUUGGACGGGGAGCAAGGCCGCCGACGUGUCGGCGGAAGGAGAGUACCCGUAGAACAAGCAUCGGCUAACUCCGUGCCAGCAGCCGCGGUAAUACGGAGGAUGCGAGCGUUAUCCGGAUUUAUUGGGUUUAAAGGGUGCGCAGGCGGCACGGCAAGCCGGCGGUCAAAUCGCGGGGCUCAACCCCGCCCAGCCGUCGGAACUGCCGGGCUAGAGUGGGCGAGAAGUGCGCGGAAUGCGUGGUGUAGCGGUGAAAUGCAUAGAUAUCGAGAGGAACACUCGUGGCGAAGGCGGGUUCCUGGACAUUAACUGACGCUGAGGCACGAAGGCCAGGGGAGCGAAAGGGAUUAGAUCCCCCUGUA
rnacentral:rRNA from 1 species